rnacentral:rRNA from 1 species
UACGUAGGGUCCGAGCGUUGUCCGGAAUUAUUGGGCGUAAAGGGCUCGUAGGCGGUUCGUCACGUCGGGAGUGAAAACCUUGGGCUUAACUCAGGGCUUGCUUUCGAUACGGGCAGACUAGAGGUAUGCAGGGGAGAACGGAAUUCCUGGUGUAGCGGUGAAAUGCGCAGAUAUCAGGAGGAACACCGGUGGCGAAGGCGGUUCUCUGGGCAUGAUCUGACGCUGAGGAGCGAAAGUGUGGGGAGCGAACAGG